CGGCCCCGGAACGGGCCUUGCCGGUACCUCUGCCGGAGCAGGCAGGAUCGUGGUGUUGAAGAGUACAUCUGUGCUAGUUCCCUCAGAUUGGCAAUGGUUCGUAGUGGAAAAAGUGGUGGGCUCCAUCUGAAGCAGAUUGCAUACUACAAGCGAACAGGGGAAUAUCAUCCCACAACAUUAUCAAGUGAAAGAAGUGGAAUCAGGAGAGCUGCCAAAAACUUUGUUUUCAAAGAAAACAAGUUGUUCUAUGUUGGAAAAGACAGAAAACAAAUGCGCCUGGUAAUUGUUUCAGAUGAAGAGAAGAAAAAUGUCCUCGAGAAAUGCCACAAAAAUGCUGCUGGCACUCAUCAUGGUAUAUCAAGGACACUGACUUUAGUGGAGUCUAAUUACUACUGGACCUCUGUAACAAAUGAUGUCAAGCAGUGGGUGUAUGCUUGCCAGCAUUGCCAGGUGGCAAAGAACACAACCACCACAGUGCCGAAAACACACCCUAUCAAAGCAGAGGACCCAUGGACAGCAGUCACUAUAGACCUAAUGGGACCUUUCAACGUUACCAACAAAAGUCACAAAUACAUCAUAAUUAUGACAGAUUUGUUUACAAGAUGGACUGUUAUCUUACCACUGCAUGACACUUCAGCAGCUGAAAUUGCUAAGGCAAUCAUAAAUGUGUUCUUCUUAUAUGGGCCACCUCAAAAGAUGCCUUUUGAUCAAGGGAAGGAGCUUGUUUGUCAGAUAAAUGAAGAACUGUUUGCGCUGUUUGGAAUGAAACAAAUUGUAUUGUCUUAUCCUCAGACAGAUGAUGUAAAUGAAAGAAUGUCCAAGACAAUCAAAACUUUCCUUAACAAGUACUGCAUCGACCAUCCAAAUGAUUGGGAUGAACAUUUGUCUGCUAUAGCCUAUGCUUUCAAUUUGACAAAUUUGGAGCCAGAUCAAAACACCCCAUAUUUCCAAAUGUUCAACCGUAACCCACAUGCUGUUGAGUCUAUGAAUAUAUGUGUGGAAGGAAAAUACAGUAUUUUUGCCAAAAUAUUUGAAGCAACUAAAAAAUUCGGUCAAGCACUGGAGGAAGAGAACACCUCAGAUUGCCAGGCAGAUAAAAAAACUUCAGAUGAACAAAAAAUCAGAACCAAAAUCACAGUCAAAAGGAAGUCAAAACAAUUAAAUACCCUUCGACUUAAAGUUGGCCAUGAAGUCCUCAGGCAAAGAAAAAACUGGUGGAAAGAUGGUCGUUUCCAGUCGGAAUGGAUUGGUCCUUGUAUUAUAGAUUACAUCACAGAAAAUGGCUGUGCAAUAUUAAGAGAUUCCACAGGAUCCAGGCUGAAAAGACCCAUCAAGAUGUCUCACCUCAAGCCAUACAUAAGAGGGUCCAGUGAAAAAGACAACCGUUACUUUCUACAAGGUGCAGUAGUUGACCAUGACUAUAUUGGCUUAUCUGAAAGAUCUAAUAAUUCAAGCCAGCCAGACUGUGUUGCUGAAGGGGAAAUAAAUGCCUACAAAAGAGAUGUCAUGUCUGCUGUACAGAUUCCACUUGCAGUCUGCAAAGACCAAGAAUCAGCAGAUGGUAAACAUGAGUCUGAGCUGAGAGAAGAUCACUGCAUCGAACCAAACACAACAAAGCCAGAGAAAUGGCCUUCACCUUGUUGGACCUGUCAGACCAAGACAGAGGAGACUUAAGCAUAGUCUUCUGUCACAUUUCAUUGCCAAGCAGUUUGGAACUACUGUGACAGACUGAAAAAAAAAAUGUAAUAGCUCCAGCUUCCUUAUCCCAACCCACUUUACUGCUUUAUGAAUCUAAGAGUGCUGCAGUUGCCUCUUCACUGAGCCUGUGCACGUUGAGAGAUUUUCCAUGGACAGUGGGCUAUGAAGGGUGAAGCACUGGUAUUAACUUACUCUCUGAUUUCCUUGAGUAAGUUGUUACUGGUCUGGACUUCCUGCUGAGAAGACUGUAUCUCAAAGGCAGCUGCACCAGAAUUUUUUCAUGUGGAAAACUGAUGAGUGCAAGUCAGUUCCUUUUUUUUUUUUUUUUAAUAGGGGAUUGACAUGAAGAUGAAGAAAACCAGCAGAAAACUGAAUUGAGCAAUUCAGCAACUUCUGGGUGAUGCUCUGGAAAAUUUGCUUAUCUUGCUCUCUGAAUGUGUGUGUUCCCUCUCAUCUCUACUCUUGACUGUCACGUGACUUAUAACAGAGGUGGAGGAAUGUACUAUUUAUUAAGAAUUUUCAGUUAAGUUUUGGCAAUUAGAUGUGGUUGUCAAGGCUGCUUAGGUACCUACCUCAUACAGAAAUUCAUAUGUAUGGUACAGUAUGUCUGUGAUAUCACGGGAUGGAUCUGUGUGAGAAAAGAGCUCAGCACCAUUACAGAAUCCUGUCUUAAACUUCAAAUGAGAAAUAAUUAAUACUCAAACUUUUUUGUGUCUUCUGAAAAUGCAGUCCUACAGAUACAGUUUUUCUCCACCAAGACUGCUUCAGAAAGAGUCUUUCUGAAUAUACUGUGUGUGCGCACACAUGGAAUAAAUACUUAUUUUUGCAUAUCAUGCCUUUAAAGAAAAUACUAGUGUCAGGAGUAAAACUGGAGAAUAAGGCAUUAUUUGUAAGACUCAUUUCUGCUUUGGUAGCUGAAAAAAAGAAUCAGCCUCUCUUAGUUUUUUUUUUUACUUGAAGUGAUCAGUUCCUGACUUGUGCACAGUACAGCAGAGCUGUUUUCUGGGGCAGUUCUGGAGUAAUGCAAGUGUUGUAGAGUUGUUAGAGCUACACUGAAGAGAAAGAAAAUGCUACAGUGAGAGAGGAAUGGGGAAAACACAGAAACAUUUACCAUACUGUGUACAUUAAACAUAUUGCUGGUCUUUCAGGCUUCCUGGUAAUUUUAAUCUACUGUAUUGACCAGCAGGCUCAUUAGUGACUUACCAGUGCACUGAAAUGUGGCCUUAUGUGCAUAGGGGAGGUUCACUGAAAUAAAAUACAGGGUUUUCAAACUAUUGACAAGAAAAACAGUCACUGGAAACUGGAAAAAAAACCCCACCAGACACCUAGAUUAGAAGACCAAAACUGACACAAGGGUAAGCAAGAUUUAGCAGUGUCUUCAAGAAAUGGGUACUAUACUCUUCUGCACCUCUUAGAAGACCUGUUGGUCUGCUGUUUAUACCUUGGUAACCAAACUAUGUAGAAAUUUGGAAUGAAAAGCAGUACACAAAAAGCUUUAAUUUGAAGAGGAAGGCUCUUCCAGGUAGAAGUAACCAGACAGAAAACUGAACUUUAAAACUUUUGAUUCAGGAGCAGAUAAUCCUGAGAGCUGCAUUCCCUAGUCAAUUCUCCUUUCAACUUGUACAUAGAUGAAGGGAUCUGCAGCAACUUUGCUGCACUGAUAGCAGAAGCAGGUGUGCCAAUAAACAAUAAAUGUUACAGGAAAUACACCAUUUCCCCUUCAUCAGGCAGUGCUGCCCUGCUACAGAUUGCUAGUGCAGUGAUUAGCAGAUCACUUGGACACAACUUUCUAUAAUUCUGUAUUUCCAUGUACAACUCAUUACUCACGUGGAUGAGCCCUUUUCUGGGUGCUUGCAAAGCAUCUCAAAACUCGUCAGCAGAGCUGGAGCAUUCAGCUCUGCAGCUGGUGACAAGAAUAGGUGCCUUAACUACGUAAAGUGAUAUCUGAGUAAGUGGGUUAAAAGGGAAUAAAUCAGAUUUCACAAAUUCAGUACCUAAAAUUAGUUGAUUAUUUUUGGCAAUUGAUGCCUUUAAUCUCCUUAUGCCUCACUUCCCCUUCUGUAGAGAGUAGCACCAUGUCAGAUUCCAGACAAACUGCAAAAAAUACUCAUUACUCUUCAGAAAGCUGGCAGACAGAGUGAUGAAAGCCCCAAUAGAAAAGCCCUUAAGAAAAUGAGUUCUAUGUUUUGUGCAGCAUCUCAGUGACAUGCAGUAAAUAAAACAUGUGCUUCCCCACCA